AUUGAACGCUGGCGGCAUGCCUUACACAUGCAAGUCGAACGGUAACAGGUCUUCGGAUGCUGACGAGUGGCGAACGGGUGAGUAAUACAUCGGAACGUGCCCAGACGUGGGGGAUAACGAGGCGAAAGCUUUGCUAAUACCGCAUACGAUCUAAGGAUGACAGCAGGGGACCGCAAGGCCUUGUGCGUUUGGAGCGGCCGAUGGCAGAUUAGGUAGUUGGUGGGAUAAAAGCUUACCAAGCCGACGAUCUGUAGCUGGUCUGAGAGGACGACCAGCCACACUGGAACUGAGACACGGCCCAGACUCCUGCGGGAGGCAGCAGUGGGGAAUUUUGGACAAUGGGCGAAAGCCUGAUCCAGCAAUGCCGCGUGCAGGAUGAAGGCCUUCGGGUUGUAAACUGCUUUUGUACGGAACGAAAAGGCUCUGGCUAAUACCUGGGGCACAUGACGGUACCGGAAGAAUAAGCACCGGCUAACUACGUG
rnacentral:rRNA from 1 species